GCCGUAGCUCAGUCGAAUAAAGCGUGGGCCUAAUAAGCCCAAGGUCGCGGGUUCGACCAGUGUUAGCAGCA